AUUGAACGCUGGCGGCAGGCCUAACACAUGCAAGUCGAACGAGUGGCGGACGGGUGAGUAAUGUCUGGGAAACUGCCUGAUGGAGGGGGAUCACUACUGGAAACGGUAGCUAAUACCGCAUACCAUCUGAUGUGCCCAGCUGGGAUUAGCUAGUAGGGGGGGUAAAGGCUCACCUAGGGGACGAUCCCUAGCUGGUCUGCGAGGAUGACAGGCCAUACUGGAACUGAGACACGGUCCAGACGCCUACGGGAGGCAGCAGUGGGGAAUAUUGCGCAAUGGGGGCAAGCCUGAUGCAGCCAUGCCGCGUGUAUGAAGAAGGCCUUCGGGGUGUAAAGUACUUUCAGCGGGGAGGCGUUACCCGCAGAAGAAGCACCGGCUAACUCCGUGCCAGCCGCCGCGGUAAUAC
rnacentral:rRNA from 1 species